AGUAGGGUAGACUAACGGGAAGUCAUCAGGCUCAUAACCUGGGGAUGUAGGUUCGACUCCUGCCUCUACAA
rnacentral:tRNA from 2 species